rnacentral:rRNA from 1 species
UACGGAGGGUGCGAGCGUUAAUCGGAAUUACUGGGCGUAAAGCGCACGCAGGCGGUUUGUUAAGCUAGAUGUGAAAGCCCCGGGCUCAACCUGGGAUGGUCAUUUAGAACUGGCAGACUAGAGUCUUGGAGAGGGGAGUGGAAUUCCAGGUGUAGCGGUGAAAUGCGUAGAUAUCUGGAGGAACAUCAGAGGCGAAGGCGACUCCCUGGCCAAAGACUGACGCUCAUGUGCGAAAGUGUGGGUAGCGAACCGC